rnacentral:tRNA from 1 species
GCUUUCGUGGUUUAAUUGGUAGCAAGUCCGACUGGUAAUCGAAAGAUCCUGAAUUCAAAUCUCGGCCAGAGUA